rnacentral:lncRNA from 1 species
UUAUGUACCACAAAAGUGAAUAUAUUUGAAAAACUAACUAAAAACAAAACCAUAUAUAUAAAUAUUUAUAUAUUGUAUAAAUUCAUAUACUUACGUAAGAGAUUUUUGAGACGUUUUGUGGGAUGUGUACCCGUAUGUCUUUAAUUUGUAGUUAUGUAUAUAAUUGAACAAUCAUAAUCCACAAGAAUUUUCCAAAAAAAAA